AGAAGAGUGUAUCCUGUCAUUUCAGUUUUACUGACCUGAGGCCCAGUGGGGCCAACCCACGGCAGUGUCUGGGCUCAUUAGGGUAGAAGGACGACAUGGGCAUGGCCCUGGCCUGGCCACGUUACUCUGUAGAGCCACUUUUGCUCACAGCAUUACCAGCCUCACACGGCCCUGACUGCGUCCACACUGCAGAAGCAGGCCUUGGUAGGAGUCAGCGUGGCUCGUGGGAGCUGGAGGUCAGGGUGUGAUCUCUGGGCUGUUAGACACGUCCCUGUGGUUGAAACACGUACAUGAAAUAACAGUGAGAUGCGCCUGUCCCCUCCGGGACACGAGUGCACAGCCCACUGUGCGAGCUCCUGGGCGGCAGCCCCACUGUGCUUGUGGUUUGUCUUCUAGGAGUGGACCACUUCUUGUACGGCCUCUCGGAUGAGAUGAAGCAGGCCCACAGGGAGCAGCUCUUCACCCUCAGCCACGACAAGCUCCUGGCCGUGAGUGAUAGGUACCUCGGCACUGGGAAGAACACGCAUGGCCUGGCCAUACUCAGACCCGAGAACCCCAAAAUCACCAAGGACCCAUCCUGGAUCAUCAGAUGAGCAGCCCUGGUGCCCCUGACUGUGCAGGAGCUCCUGAGACAAUAGGCCUCUAGAGCUGAAUAUGAAAAGUCAGAAAUGCUACCGCUUUUUCCAAGAAUAUUGUGUCAUUCUUAAGGUGUAGCCACUGACUGGCAAGUCAAUCUUGAGUGACCAGGAAGACGUUCAUUGAAAUAGUCAUGCACAAAAUGCCAAAGAUGCACCACAUAGAAUUUUCACUUUCUACUGACAGAAAGGCUUGUUUUACCUCAUUAGUUCUAGAACAUUUAUAUAAGAAUCUAAAAAUAAAGGGCAACUCUGACUUAA